CCGAGUCUUAACCGGGCGUUAAGUUGCAGGGUAUAGACCCGAAACCCGGUGAUCUAGCCAUGGGCAGGUUGAAGGUUGGGUAACACUAACUGGAGGACCGAACCGACUAAUGUUGAAAAAUUAGCGGAUGACCUGUGGCUGGGGGUGAAAGGCCAAUCAAACCGGGAGAUAGCUGGUUCUCCCCGAAAGCUAUUUAGGUAGCGCCUCGUGAAUUCAUCUCCGGGGGUAGAGCACUGUUUCGGCUAGGGGGCCAUCCCGGCUUACCAACCCGAUGCAAACUGCGAAUACCGGAGAAUGUUAUCACGGGAGACACACGGCGGGUGCUAACGUCCGUCGUGAAGAGGGAAACAACCCAGACCGCCAGCUAAGGUCCCAAAGUCAUGGUUAAGUGGGAAACGAUGUGGGAAGGCCCAGACAGCCAGGAUGUUGGCUUAGAAGCAGCCAUCAUUUAAAGAAAGCGUAAUAGCUCACUGGUCGAGUCGGCCUGCGCGGAAGAUGUAACGGGGCUAAACCAUGCACCGAAGCUGCGGCAGCGAACGUAUCACCCAAGACAACUUUACGGAGUUGACGAUUGACGGAGCGAAGCGACGUCAAAGCGUUCAUUAAAGUCGAGUUGGCUUAGGGAUACGUUCGUUGGGUAGGGGAGCGUUCUGUAAGCCUGUGAAGGUGUGUCGUGAGGCAUGCUGGAGGUAUCAGAAGUGCGAAUGCUGACAUAAGUAACGAUAAAGCGGGUGAAAAGCCCGCUCGCCGGAAGACCAAGGGUUCCUGUCCAACGUUAAUCGGGGCAGGGUGAGUCGACCCCUAAGGCGAGGCCGAAAGGCGUAGUCGAUGGGAAACGGGUUAAUAUUCCCGUACUUGGUGUUACUGCGAAGGGGGGACGGAGAAGGCUAUGUUGGCCGGGCGACGGUUGUCCCGGUUUAAGCGUGUAGGUGUGUGUUCCAGGUAAAUCCGGUUCACUUUAACACUGAGGCGUGACGACGAGGCACUACGGUGCUGAAGCAACAAAUGCCCUGCUUCCAGGAAAAGCCUCUAAGCAUCAGGUAACAUCAAAUCGUACCCCAAACCGACACAGGUGGUCAGGUAGAGAAUACCAAGGCGCUUGAGAGAACUCGGGUGAAGGAACUAGGCAAAAUGGUGCCGUAACUUCGGGAGAAGGCACGCUGACACGUAGGUGAAGUGAUUUACUCAUGGAGCUGAAGUCAGUCGAAGAUACCAGCUGGCUGCAACUGUUUAUUAAAAACACAGCACUGUGCAAACACGAAAGUGGACGUAUACGGUGUGACGCCUGCCCGGUGCCGGAAGGUUAAUUGAUGGGGUCAGCGCAAGCGAAGCUCCUGAUCGAAGCCCCGGUAAACGGCGGCCGUAACUAUAACGGUCCUAAGGUAGCGAAAUUCCUUGUCGGGUAAGUUCCGACCUGCACGAAUGGCGUAAUGAUGGCCAGGCUGUCUCCACCCGAGACUCAGUGAAAUUGAACUCGCUGUGAAGAUGCAGUGUACCCGCGGCAAGACGGAAAGACCCCGUGAACCUUUACUAUAGCUUGACACUGAACAUUGAGCCUUGAUGUGUAGGAUAGGUGGGAGGCUUUGAAGUGUGGACGCCAGUCUGCAUGGAGCCGACCUUGAAAUACCACCCUUUAAUGUUUGAUGUUCUAACGUGGACCCGUAAUCCGGGUUGCGGACAGUGUCUGGUGGGUAGUUUGACUGGGGCGGUCUCCUCCUAAAGAGUAACGGAGGAGCACGAAGGUUGGCUAAUCCUGGUCGGACAUCAGGAGGUUAGUGCAAUGGCAUAAGCCAGCUUGACUGCGAGCGUGACGGCGCGAGCAGGUGCGAAAGCAGGUCAUAGUGAUCCGGUGGUUCUGAAUGGAAGGGCCAUCGCUCAACGGAUAAAAGGUACUCCGGGGAUAACAGGCUGAUACCGCCCAAGAGUUCAUAUCGACGGCGGUGUUUGGCACCUCGAUGUCGGCUCAUCACAUCCUGGGGCUGAAGUAGGUCCCAAGGGUAUGGCUGUUCGCCAUUUAAAGUGGUACGCGAGCUGGGUUUAGAACGUCGUGAGACAGUUCGGUCCCUAUCUGCCGUGGGCGCUGGAGAACUGAGGGGGGCUGCUCCUAGUACGAGAGGACCGGAGUGGACGCAUCACUGGUGUUCGGGUUGUCAUGCCAAUGGCACUGCCCGGUAGCUAAAUGCGGAAGAGAUAAGUGCUGAAAGCAUCUAAGCACGAAACUUGCCCCGAGAUGAGUUCUCCCUGAGACUUAGAGUCUCCUGAAGGAACGUUGAAGACGACGACGUUGAUAGGCCGGGUGUGUAAGCGCAGCGAUGCGUUGAGCUAACCGGUACUAAUGAACCGUGAGGCUUAACCUUACA
rnacentral:rRNA from 1 species